rnacentral:rRNA from 1 species
ACCCAGACUCCUACGGGAGGCAGCAGUGAGGAAUAUUGGUCAAUGGGCUUACGCCUGAACCAGCCAAGUCGCGUGAGGGAAGACUGCCCUAUGGGUUGUAAACCUCUUUUGUCAGGGAGCAACGCCGGCUACGUGUAGCCGGACUGAGAGUACCUGAAGAAAAAGCAUCGGCUAACUCCGUGCCGGCAGCCGCGGUAAUACGGAGGAUGCGAGCGUUAUCCGGAUUUAUUGGGUUUAAAGGGUGCGCGGGCGGUCUGUUAAGUCGGCGGUCAAAGCCCGGGGCUCAACCCCGGCCCGCCGUUGAAACUGGCAGUCUCGAGUUGGAGAGAAGUAUGCGGAAUGCGCGGUGUAGCGGUGAAAUGCAUAGAUAUCGCGCAGAACUCCGAUUGCGAAGGCAGCAUGCCGGCUCCACACUGACGCUGAGGCACGAAAGCGUGGGUAUCGAACAGGAUUAGAUACCCUUGUA